AGUGAAGCGGCAAAAGCUCAAAUUUGAAAUCUGGUACCUUCGGUGCCCGGUUGUAAUUUGUAGAAGGUAACUUUGGGGCUGGUCCUUGUCUAUGUUCCUUGGAACAGGACGUCAUAGAGGGUGAGAAUCCCGUGUGGCGAGGAUCCCAGUUCUUUGUAAAGUGCUUUCGAAGAGUCGAGUUGUUUGGGAAUGCAGCUCUAAGUGGGUGGUAAAUUCCAUCUAAAGCUAAAUAUUGGCGAGAGACCGAUAGCGAACAAGUACAGUGAUGGAAAGAUGAAAAGAACUUUGAAAAGAGAGUGAAAAAGUACGUGAAAUUGUUGAAAGGGAAGGGCAUUUGAUCAGACAUGGUGUUUUGCGCCCUCUGCUCCUGUGGGUGGGGGAAUCUCGCAGCUCACUGGGCCAGCAUCAGUUUUGGCGGCAGGAUAAAUCUGCAGGAAUGUAGCUUGCCUCGGUAAGUGUUAUAUCCUGUAGAAAUACUGCCAGCUGGGACUGAGGACUGCGACUUUACGUCAAGGAUGCUGGCAUAAUGGUUAUAUGCCGCCCGUCUUGAAACACAGACCAAA
rnacentral:rRNA from 1 species